AUGGCUCGAACCGAGUGUACAGCUCGAAACUCCACUGGAGGGAAGGCUCCUACCAAGAACCUUAGGGUUUUCUAUGCUGCCGCUCGUAAAACAGCUCCAGCAACUGGAGGAGUCAAGAAGCCCCGCAGAUAUCGCCUUGGAACUGUUGCUCUUCGUGAAUUUCGCAAGUAUCAAAAGGGCACCGAGUUGCUCAUAAGGAAGCUACCUUUUCAAAGGCUCGUCAGGGAGAUUGAGUUUUCAAGAUUGAUCUGCAUUUCCAGAGCCAUGCGGUGCUUGCUUUGCAAGAGGCAGCGGAAGCAUACCUUGUGGGACUAUUUGAGGACACUAAUCUAUGUGCCGUCCAUGCGAAGCGCGUGA
rnacentral:rRNA from 1 species